rnacentral:rRNA from 1 species
ACUCCCAACCCCUGUGACAUACCUAUACGUUGCCUCGGCGGAUCAGCCCGCGCCCCGUAAAAAGGGACGGCCCGCCCGAGGACCCCUAAACUCUGUUUUUAGUGGAACUUCUGAGUAAAACAAACAAAUAAAUCAAAACUUUCAACAACGGAUCUCUUGGUUCUGGCAUCGAUGAAGAACGCAGCAAAAUGCGAUAAGUAAUGUGAAUUGCAGAAUUCAGUGAAUCAUCGAAUCUUUGAACGCACAUUGCGCCCGCCAGUAUUCUGGCGGGCAUGCCUGUUCGAGCGUCAUUUCAACCCUCAAGCUCAGCUUGGUGUUGGGACUCGCGGUAACCCGCGUUCCCCAAAUCGAUUGGCGGUCACGUCGAGCUUCCAUAGCGUAGUAAUCAUACACCUCGUUACUGGUAAUCGUCGCGGCCACGCCGUAAAACCCCAACUUCUGAAUGUUGACCUCGGAUCAGGUAGGAAUACCCGCUGAACUUAAGCAUAUCAAAAGCCGGGAGG